AAAUACAGUCACAUCACCCUGAACACACCUGAUCUCAUCUGAUCUCGGAAGCUAAGCAGGAUUGGGCCUGGUGAGUACUUGGAUGGGAGAGAAAAUAAGAGAAAUGUUCUUAUAUUUC
rnacentral:rRNA from 1 species